GCCGUGAUGAUCGUUGUGGUUUUGAUGAAGGAUGAAAUGAACCAGCAGAUCCUCUAAGAAGUACUGAGCUC
ensembl:snoRNA